rnacentral:rRNA from 1 species
UACAGAGGUCUCAAGCGUUGUUCGGAUUCAUUGGGCGUAAAGGGUGUGUAGGUGGCGCCGUAAGUCGGGUGUGAAAUUUCGGAGCUUAACUCCGAAACUGCAUUCGAGACUGCGUAGCUAGGGUGCGGAAGAGGGAAGCGGAAUUUCCGGUGUAGCGGUGAAAUGCGUAGAUAUCGGAAGGAACACCAGUGGCGAAAGCGGCUUCCUGGUCCAGCACCGACGCUCAUGCACGAAAGCGUGGGGAGCAAACAGG